AAACCCCCUCGCCGAAAGACUAAGGUUUCCUGAUCAACGCUAAUCGGAUCAGGGUCAGUCGGGUCCUAAGGCUCAGCCGAACGGCGAUGCCGAUGGCAGAAACGGUUAAUAUUCCGUUACUACCUUCAGGAGUGACGUGGAGACGCAGUAGUGACAGUGCCGCCAUCUGACGGAAUAGAUGGUUGAAGGGUGUAGGAGUCGAUCAUGGCAGGCAAAUCCACCAUGAGAUCCGAACCUGAUAGUAUGCCGCGUCCUUCGGGACAAGGCAAUAGUGCGCGUAAGCAUGCUGCCGAGAAAAUCCGCUAAACUUAAUCCUGCAGGUACCCGUACCGCAAACGGACACACGUAGUCGGGAUGAAUAUUCUAAGGCGCUUGAGUGAUUCACGGUUAAGGAACUAGGCAAACUGACCCUGUAACUUCGGGAUAAAGGGUCCCUACCCUUUUAUGGGAGGGCGCAGAGAAUCGGUCCAGGCAACUGUUUAACAAAAACACAGGGCUGUGCCAAAUCGAAAGAUCCAGUAUACAGCCUGACACCUGCCCGGUGCUGGAAGGUUAAGAGGAGAUGUCAUCGAUAAGAGAAGCGUUGAAUUGAAGCCCCAGUAAACGGCGGCCGUAACUAUAACGGUCCUAAGGUAGCGAAAUUCCUUGUCGGGUAAGUUCCGACCUGCACGAAUGGUGUAAUGAUCUGGACGCUGUCUCAACCGUGAGCUCAGUGAAAUUGUAGUAUCGGUGAAGAUGCCGAUUACCCGCGAUGGGACGAAAAGACCCCGUGAACCUUUACUAUAGCUUAUCAUUGAAUCUGGGCACGUGAUGUGUAGGAUAGGUCGGAGGCUUUGAAGCAGGUACGCCAGUAUUUGUGGAGCCGCUGUUGAAAUACGACCCUUUAUUUGUUUGGAUUCUAACCCGUGGAACGGGGACAUUGAUUGGUGGGUAGUUUGACUGGGGUGGUCGCCUCCAAAAGCGUAACGGAGGCUUCUAAAGGUGCCCUCCGGCCGAUUGGUAACCGGCCUUAGAGUGUAAUGGCAUAAGGGCGCUUGACUGGGAGACUAACAAGUCGAUCAGGUAGGAAACUAGAGCAUAGUGAUCCGGUGUUUCCGUAUGGAAGGGACAUCGCUCAAAGGAUAAAAGGUACUCCGGGGAUAACAGGCUGAUCCCUCCCAAGAGCUCAUAUCGACGGAGUGGUUUGGCACCUCGAUGUCGGCUCGUCACAUCCUGGGGCUGGAGAAGGUCCCAAG
rnacentral:rRNA from 1 species